rnacentral:tRNA from 1 species
GCCCGGUUAGCUCAAUCGGUAGAGCGUGAGACUCUUAAUCUCAAGGUUGCGGGUUAGUAAUCUAUCCUGCACAAGAUGUUCAUGACAAUAGCUGACAGACCCUAAAGGUUCGACCCCCGCAUCGGGCU